rnacentral:rRNA from 1 species
UACGUAGGGGGGCAAGCGUUGUCCGGAUUUAUUGGGCGUAAAGAGCGUGUAGGCGGCUUUACAGGUCCGUUGUGAAAACUCGAGGCUCAACCUCGAGACGCCGGUGGAAACCGUAAAGCUAGAGUCCGGAAGAGGAGAGUGGAAUUCCUGGUGUAGCGGUGAAAUGCGCAGAUAUCAGGAGGAACACCCGUGGCGAAAGCGGCUUUCUGGGACGGUACUGACGCUGAGACGCGAAAGCGUGGGGAGCAAACAGG